GACGAACGCUGGCGGCGCGCUUAACACAUGCAAGUCGAGCGAGAACCCAGGCUUCGGCCUGGGGGAAGGCGGCGAACGGGUGAGUAUCACGUGGGUAAUCUGCCCUCGGCAUCGGGAUAGCCCGGGGAAACCCGGAUUAAUACCGAAUGGCCCAUCCGCUCUUCGGAGCGGCUGGAAAAGGUAGCUUCGGCCUCCGGCCGAGGAUGAGCCCGCGGCGGAUUAGCUUGUUGGUGGGGUAACGGCUCACCAAGGCAACGAUCCGUAGCUGGUCUGAGAGGACGAUCAGCCACACUGGGACUGAGACACGGCCCAGACUCCUACGGGAGGCAGCAGUGGGGAAUCUUGCGCAAUGGGCGAAAGCCUGACGCAGCGACGCCGCGUGCGGGAAGAAGGCCUUCGGGUUGUAAACCGCUUUCAGGAGGGACGAAGCCACUCAGGUUAAUAGCCGAGAGGGUGACGGUACCUCCAGAAGAAGCCCCGGCUAACUACGUGCCAGCCGCCGCGGUAAUAC
rnacentral:rRNA from 1 species